UUCGAAGGGGGCUAGCGUUGCUCGGAAUCACUGGGCGUAAAGGGCGCGUAGGCGGAUCUUUAAGUCGGGGGUGAAAGCCCAGGGCUCAACCCUGGAAUUGCCUUCGAUACUGAAGAUCUCGAGACCGGAAGAGGUAAGUGGAACUGCGAGUGUAGAGGUGAAAUUCGUAGAUAUUCGCAAGAACACCAGUGGCGAAGGCGGCUCACUGGCCCGGUACUGACGCUGAGGUGCGAAAGCGUGGGGAGCAAACAGG
rnacentral:rRNA from 1 species